CAAGUGCGGAGGGGGCGCCCAAGAGGCUGACCUUCGACGAAAUCCAGAGCAAGACCUACAUGGAGGUGAAGGGUACCGGCACCGCGAACCAGUGCCCGACCAUCGACGGCGGCGUCGACUCCUUCCCCUUCAAGGCCGGCAAGUACGAGAUGAAGAAGUUCUGCCUGGAGCCCACCUCCUUCACCGUCAAGGCCGAGGGCAUCCAGAAGAACGAGCCACCGGCCUUCCAGAAGACCAAGCUCAUGACCCGUCUCACUUACACCCUUGACGAGAUGGAAGGCCCGCUCGAGGUCGGCGC
rnacentral:lncRNA from 1 species